GUCAGCUUAUGCUGCAACACUUGGAAUUUGGUCUACUUUCAACUUUCAAGUAAGAACAACUUUACUAAUUAAAUUCACUCAAAAUCGAAUUUUGUAGCCACAUAACAAAACUUAAGUGAAAUUGAAAACAAAAAUGAGAGUUUUAAAAUGCAUACAUGUUGCAAAUGGUACAGUGUCCUCAAAAAUAUUUGUUGUAAAGAAAGUAAAUGAAAAUCUUUCAAAAUGAGCAUUUAACUUCAAUAUAGAACCAAAUUAAAAAGACAAAGUCUUCUUUGGAGAUCCAAUCAAAAUCUAAGACCAUUAUGUUUCCUCUCAACUCCAAUACCUUAUUUGGACUUGAGAUCUUGAUGUGAUGCUAGUUUGCUCAUUCACUAUAAAAACGAAAGUGCAUUUUAGAGUAUUGGGUCUCUCCUUUCCGAUUUAUUCAGUAACCAUCUAAAUAACACAACUUCCUUAACAGCCUAAUAAUAUAACAAUUGCAGCGUAUAAUAUAAUAACAAUACUAAUAAGAGAUCUAACCGAGAU
rnacentral:lncRNA from 1 species